rnacentral:rRNA from 1 species
GGUUGAUCCUGCCAGUAGUCAUAUGCUUGUCUCAAAGAUUAAGCCAUGCAUGUCUAAGUAUAAGCACUUUAUACAGCGAAACUGCGAACGGCUCAUUAAAUCAGUCAUUAUGUACUCGGCAGUUGCGUUUACUACACGGAUACCUGUGGUAAUUCUAGAGCUAAUACGUGCGUGUGCUUCCGGCAACGGGAGCAGGCAUUUAUUGGAUAAAAGACCAACAUUUAACUUGGUGAGUCACAGUAACUUAGCGAAUCGCAUGGCCUCUGUGCUGGCGAUGUGCCGAUCCAAUUU